CGGGUCGCGUCCUAUCAGCUUGUUGGCGGGGUGAUGGCCCACCAAGGCGUUGACGGGUAGCCGGCCUGAGAGGGUGACCGGCCACAUUGGGACUGAGAUACGGCCCAGACUCCUACGGGAGGCAGCAGUGGGGAAUAUUGCACAAUGGGCGCAAGCCUGAUGCAGCGACGCCGCGUGCGGGAUGGAGGCCUUCGGGUUGUAAACCGCUUUUGUUCAAGGGCAAGGCACGGUUUGGGCCGUGUUGAGUGGAUUGUUCGAAUAAGCACCGGCUAACUACGUGCCAGCAGCCGCGGUAAUACGUAGGGUGCGAGCGUUAUCCGGAUUUAUUGGGCGUAAAGGGCUCGUAGGCGGUUCGUCGCGUCCGGUGUGAAAGUCCAUCGCCUAACGGUGGAUCUGCGCCGGGUACGGGCGGGCUGGAGUGCGGUAGGGGAGACUGGAAUUCCCGGUGUUAACGGUG
rnacentral:rRNA from 1 species